rnacentral:rRNA from 1 species
CCUACGGGUGGCAGCAGUGAGGAAUAUUGGUCAAUGGACGAGAGUCUGAACCAGCCAAGUAGCGUGAAGGAUGACUGCCCUAUGGGUUGUAAACUUCUUUUAUAUGGGAAUAAAACGUUCCACGUGUGGGAUUUUGUAUGUACCAUAUGAAUAAGGAUCGGCUAACUCCGUGCCAGCAGCCGCGGUAAUACGGAGGAUCCGAGCGUUAUCCGGAUUUAUUGGGUUUAAAUGGAGCGUAGGUGGAUUGUUAAGUCAGUUGUGAAAGUUUGCGGCUCAACCGUAAAAUUGCAGUUGAAACUGGCAGUCUUGAGUGCAGUAGAGGUAGGCGGAAUUCGUGGUGUAGCGGUGAAAUGCUUAGAUAUCACGAAGAACUCCGAUUGCGAAGGCAGUUCACUGGACUGCAACUGACACUGAGGCUCGAAAGUGUGGGUAUCAAACAGGAUUAGAUACCCCUGUAGUC